rnacentral:lncRNA from 1 species
GGGUGUAAAUCUGCAGUGCACAGCCUGCUGGAGCGCUAAGUGUCCUUGGGGACCUUCAGCUGAGUACUAAAAGUUCCCUAAUGUGCACUAACUUACUGCGGUUUCAGAUAUUUGCCAACAUUUUCAAUAAAAUUGAAAGAAAAUGGGUUAUAUGCCAGUUAACACACAGGUCUUGAAAAUGGUUAUUGUAGUCUACUUUUCUUUUCUUUCUUUUUUUUUUUUAUUUGUUACCCAUCUGUCCUUCUCUUACUCCCAUCUGUUUCUUUCACUCAGUGUGCUGGAGUCUUGUUUCAUGACAUGGAGUCUAAGCUCUUAAUGUAGCACAGUAUAGGUUACCCAACUGAAAAUGCUUUUUGAGAAUAAAUCAUUGUCCUUGUAUUCUGUAGGAAGCAAACAACAUAGAUUGUGUUGUUAAUGUGUAUGAGAAAUCUUUCUUUCAACAGAAUGAAUAUUGUAACUAUCAAUAAAUGCCCUCUAAUUUCAGAUUAUGCACUUCAAAAUAAUACCAUAAAGGAUCAUCAGUUAUUGACUACUGUUUGGGGACCUUACAUAGAUUCCACUCCUUGCUGCUUUUUUAUAAGGAUUCAGCACUGCUGACGACCACUCUACCCCAGCCAGGAGGAAUGAGAGUACAGGCAAGUAAUGCCUCAAUCUACAUAUGCUUUAGGAUGUUCUUCUCCUUCCCCUCAAGCCAACAGCCAUUUCUUUGACAAUAAUUUAAGCCACUAUCCUGCAAAACAAGGGCACAUUUAUUUUAAGCACAGGAGUAGCCCCGUUGAAAUCCAUCUAGCCAUAACUGUUUUGCUGUCACACUUACUUUAACAGUACAAUGAUCAGAAAUACUUAUUCUUGGCCUAUAUACAUAACUUACUACCUUUAACUAGAGUUCAGGUAAUGAGGGAAGGAAGAUUUUUGCAAAAUUUGACACACUCCAUUUUUCAGGGAGACACUGAAAUUUAUGACUAGUUCUACUUUAAAGGGAUAAAACAAAAAAGCACCUGAAACCUCUCUGCUUUUCUCUUUCCCUCUUCCCAUCCUCCCCAAGUCUCUUUCCCUUUUCUGCCUAUGUCUGUAUGUUUUUUUAUUACUAUUAUUGGUACCUCUACCCUGACAUGUUAAGUUUGUGUAAUAAUAUCUGAUUUUGUAUUAUCC